UUCUUUCAGACUUUACAGCAACAUAUCUGCAUGUGCACUUACCUGGCAUGAAACAACUCCCAGCUCUCCUUGAUAAUGAUGAAAAAUGAAAGGGUGUCCCUAGGAAGAGCAUGAAUCUGCAGUUGGAGGAGCGACGUGGGCACCUGAGGUACCUCGCACACACAGCUGCUCUCAGGAGUGGGAUGCAAUCCCACUGUGCUGCGCAUGCUGUAGUCUCCUGUAGUCCAUUGUACCUACAUUGGGAUGUUUUAAAGCUGGGACAGGAAAGUAAAUGGAGAAAGGGAUGCUACAAGGAAAGGUAUAUUAAUGCCCUGGUGAUGCACCUUCCAGAGAAAAAAAGAGUGUUAAGGGAAUUAUUUUCAGGCAGAUGCGGCUGCUAAUUAUGGAGCAUCAGAUGCUUGGUGAAAUCACGGCAGGUAUCAUCCCCUGCUCUAUUGCAGGGGCUGUCCCCUGACCCAGUGGCCAAAUGGGGUACCAUAGACAGCAAUGUGAGGGCAUCCCCUCAUCCCACAGCUGGAUCCUGGGGUGCUGAUGGGCUGCAGAGCACAGAUUGUUGAAAGGAAGGAUGGAGGAAGGAAGCAGAGGGAAGAGUUAUCUGUAUGCAGCCUUCUGUUCCUGCUGCAUACUCCUUCAGGAGCAGCACCCCAGGGAACUGUCACUCCACAUGCACCGGCCCAGACAGGUGCUCAUCUACGCUCCUUAGACAUAUUGGGCAAAGCAGCUGGAAAAGAAGCCAAGCACAUGGAGCAGACUGACUGCUGAAGUCAGAUUGGCUUUUGUAGUCUAGCCCAUCAGUCUGGAUCAGACACUCAGUGUUAGCUGCUUCCUCCCGGUUGGGACUUAUAGCCAGUGAUUCAUUAUGAGGGAGAUGCAACAUUUCUGAACAGCGUGUCUUGAUGCAUUCAAGAGAAGACUGACUUGGUCAGCAAGCAGUGAAGAAACCUCCCCCUCAGCCCCAGUCCUUGGCAUUCUCUUUGGAAAGCUCUGCAUUUGUCUGGAUGCACUCCUCACCUCUUGCAAUGAUAGCUACACUCAUCCACCACUUCAGAGCAUCUUGUUAACUUCCUUCCCACCCUUGUUUUUAAAGGCCUCCUAAGGAGAAAUUACUCUGAUCUCUCUGAAUCAAAUAACCCCUUACAUCUGGUAGCAUUAGGGCUAGCUAGGGAAGAGGAGUUGUGUCGGAGGAUGCUGGCAGUGUGAUCACACCAUAGCAUAGUCACAUUUUCACCUGCUCAUGUGGUCCAGCACAGCUGUGACUUGCUGGUAAUUACUUGCUUGUAGCUGGUGUGAGACUUCCAGUUUUAAAAGCCAUCUGCUUACCUCCAGAUCCCUGUUGUGUGAUCUUUCAUUUGGAGUUCACCUCUACAGUUUAUGGCAGCUUCCACGAUAACAGUCCAGCUGGAGUUCCUCUUGAUUCCAUUCUAUGUUGGCUUUGUCUCCUUUUAAAGGACAUUUUGUGUCUUUUAGUGAGUGCCAACCAGGAGGCUCAGUGUAGCCUGGCAGUAUUUGACCCAAAGGGAACAGCAGUGUACGGUGGGAGGAGAUUGGUGUGCCUGGAUGUUCAUUUGUGCACUCCAAAUCUGCUCAGGUAGAGAUGUGAUCAGAAUGACCUUUCCCAUGAGCUUCAAGUGCUUCAAUAUUAAAUGGGAAAUAGCACAAGAUCAAUGUGCAUCGUGGCUUUUUAAUGCUUUAGUCUGAACCAGGAGAGACAGUAAUAAGAAAAAGUCAGAAUAAUUUAAUAAAUGCUGUGUGUGCUUUUUUUCCUUCUGGAGA
rnacentral:lncRNA from 1 species